rnacentral:rRNA from 1 species
GAUGAACGCUGGCGGCGUGCCUAAUACAUGCAAGUCGAGCGAACAGACGAGGAGCUUGCUCCUCUGACGUUAGCGGCGGACGGGUGAGUAACGCGUGGAUAACCUACCUAUAAGACUGGGAUAACUUCGGGAAACCGGAGCUAAUACCGGAUAAUAUAUUGAACCGCAUGGUUCAAUAGUGAAAGACGGUUUUGCUGUCACUUAUAGAUGGAUCCGCGCCGCAUUAGCUAGUUGGUAAGGUAACGGCCUACCAAGGCGACGAUGCGUAGCCGACCUGAGAGGGUGAUCGGCCACACUGGAACUGAGACACGGUCCAGACUCCUACGGGAGGCAGCAGUAGGGAAUCUUCCGCAAUGGGCGAAAGCCUGACGGAGCAACGCCGCGUGAGUGAUGAAGGUCUUCGGAUCGUAAAACUCUGUUAUUAGGGAAGAACAAAUGUGUAAGUAACUAUGCACGUCUUGACGGUACCUAAUCAGAAAGCCACGGCUAACUACGUG